UUUUCAGUGUUUACAAAUAACAUGGAAAAAAUAAAUAAAUAGUUACCAGGGUAGCGAAAAUUCACACAAGUACCAAGGAUGUAACAGCCUACUUAUAAACGUAGAAACUCCAGGUUUAGGUGAAAUGCUUUUGUAUCACAUAGAGAAAUAAAUAGAUGGAAGAGCGUUGUGUAGGGAAAGAGU